rnacentral:misc_RNA from 1 species
UGCCAAAUAGACUUUGUGAAACUAUCUACAUAACAACAUUCAAAUAAUUAGUAUUUUCAAUUUUAUCAAUUUGAGAUUUUACAAAGAGAAAUAGAAAAUGAAAAAUGAGAAAAUUGCAAAACAACGGAGAGGAAAUAUGGAAAGUGAAAAUAGAAAAUGUUUUCUACAACCAGACAAGCCAAAAAGAUUUCUUCACUGUAAACAAGCUCUAGCUUUUGCUUUA